rnacentral:rRNA from 1 species
GUGGGGAAUAUUGCGCAAUGGGCGAAAGCCUGACGCAGCGACGCCGCGUGAGGGAUGAAGGUUUUCGGAUCGUAAACCUCUGUCAGAAGGGAAGAAACUACGUUGUGCUAAUCAGCAGCGUACUGACGGUACCUUCAAAGGAAGCACCGGCUAACUCCGUGCCAGCAGCCGCGGUAAUACGGAGGGUGCAAGCGUUAAUCGGAAUUACUGGGCGUAAAGCGCACGUAGGCUGUAGUGUAAGUCAGGGGUGAAAUCCCACGGCUCAACCGUGGAACUGCCUUUGAUACUGCACAACUUGAAUCCGGGAGAGGGUGGCGGAAUUCCAGGUGUAGGAGUGAAAUCCGUAGAUAUCUGGAGGAACAUCAGUGGCGAAGGCGGCCACCUGGACCGGUAUUGACGCUGAGGUGCGAAAGCCAGGGGAGCAAACGGGAUUAGAAACCCCGGUAGUCC